rnacentral:rRNA from 1 species
UACGUAGGGCGCAAGCGUUGUCCGGAAUUAUUGGGCGUAAAGAGCUCGUAGGCGGCUUGUCACGUCGGGUGUGAAAGCCCGGGGCUUAACCCCGGGUCUGCAUUCGAUACGGGCUAGCUAGAGUGUGGUAGGGGAGAUCGGAAUUCCUGGUGUAGCGGUGAAAUGCGCAGAUAUCAGGAAGAACACCCGUGGCGAAGGCGGCUCUCUGGGACGGUACUGACGCUGAGACGCGAAAGCUAGGGGAGCAAACAGG